rnacentral:snRNA from 1 species
AGCUUUGUGCAGUGGCAGUAUCGUAGUCAGUGAGGUUUAUCCGAGGCGCGAUUAUUGCUAAUUAAAAAGGGGAUCAAAUGACAUUCAGAGAAAGAUUCAAAGAGCACCAGUUAUUGAUGUAAAGCAAUACAUGUGAAAUGUGCAUUGUAAUGAAUGCUAAUUAUAAAAAGAGGUCUACCU